rnacentral:rRNA from 1 species
AGUGAACGCUGGCGGCAGGCCUAAUACAUGCAAGUCGAACGGCAGCACAGCAGAGCUUGCUCUGUGGGUGGCGAGUGGGCGGACGGGUGAGGAAUACGUGGGAAUCUGCCCAGUCGUGGGGGAUAACGUAGGGAAACUUACGCUAAUACCGCAUGCGCCCUUCGGGGGAAAGCCGGGGGACCUUCGGGCCUGGCGCGAUUGGAUGAGCCCACGUCGGAUUAGCUAGUUGGCGGGGUAAAGGCCCACCAAGGCGACGAUCCGUAGCUGGUCUGAGAGGAUGAUCAGCCACACUGGAACUGAGACACGGUCCGGACUCCUACGGGAGGCAGCAGUAGGGAAUAUUGGACAAUGGGCGCAAGCCUGAUCCAGCCAUGCCGCGUGAGUGAAGAAGGCCCUCGGGUUGUAAAGCUCUUUUGUCCGGAAAGAAAGCGCCGGGUUAAUACCCUGGUGUCCUGACGGUACCGGAAGAAUAAGACACCGGCUAACUUCGUGCCAGCAGCCGCGGUAA